rnacentral:lncRNA from 1 species
UGACCUAGAGGUCAUUGAACCCAUCAAGUACAAUGACGGACUUGAUCAUUUUCGACUGUCCCCUGCAGAACUUCGUUCGGAGUUCACAAGGCGCAAUGCUGAUGCUGUAUUUGCCUUCCAGCUCCGGAAUCCUGUUCACAAUGGCCAUGCUUUGCUAAUGACCGACACCCGAAGGCGGCUUCUUGAGAUGGGCUAUAAGAAUCCUGUUCUCUUGCUUCAUCCACUUGGUGGCUAUACCAAAGCUGAUGAUGUCCCACUUGAUUGGAGAAUGAAACAACAUGAAAAGGUGUGUUUACGUCUCCCUCCUAACUAGUGUGGCUUUAUUGUCUUCCUAAUUAGCAUUGUUUUUUCAACAGAAAAACUCACUUGUAUCAAUUUGUUCUUUCUUUAGGUUCUCGAGGAUGGUGUUCUUGAUCCAGAGACAACUGUGGUAUCCAUAUUCCCUUCUCCCAUGCACUAUGCUGGACCCACAGAGGUGCAGUGGCAUGCAAAGGCUAGGAUAAAUGCAGGGGCUAACUUCUACAUCGUUGGUCGUGACCCUGCAGGCAUGAGCCAUCCAGUUGAGAAAAGAGAUCUGUAUGACGCUGAUCAUGGGAAGAAAGUCUUGAGCAUGGCACCA